GUUUGUGUGUGUGUGCACAAAAGAGCAGAGGAAAUGAAAGUGUGAAAUAUUAAAGUUGUGUAAGGCGUAGUUUCAAUCACUUUCUGUCUGCACAGCCAUCAUGAGGUCGCUUGUCUGUCUUCCUUUCUGCCUGGUGAUGUUUCUGUUCUGUCUCAUUGCAGAGACAAGUCAACGACCUUCAACCUGCUGUUUGCAGACGAGCAAAAAAAGAAUACCCAUAAACAGGGUGUUGAGUUAUACAGUCCAGAAAGCAGGAGUUUGCCAUAUCAGCGCAAUUGUCUUGUGCACUGUAAGACAGACAAUUAGGUGUAUUGAUCCAGACUCGGAGUGGAUCAAAGAUCUUAUGAGAACGCUGGACCAGAAAAACGGACAAAACAAAAAUCCUAUUUGCCGAACCAAAAUGCCAAAAGACAGAAGAAAAAAAUAACAAAGGAAAGAUACGGAGACAGAAGAAUCAAAAGAAAAUGUAAUACAAUUUUUGUCAACAUUUGUAAUACACUGUUUGACAUAUCCCAACUGACAUAAACCUGAAUUGAUUUUAAAAUAA